AGAACCGUGUUUUCCUAUAAUUGAGGUUGGCCAUGGAGGCAGGGAGCCAGCAGCCACCUAUGGGCUCUGUCCACUAUGUGGCGCCAUGUCACCGCCACCCCCCAUUCUGUGGGAUGCUUUGUGGGAUCCAAUGAAGACACUGUUUCCAUAAAUGGAGACGGCCAAACCUUGCUGCCCCAGGGCUUUUAUACCUCAUCCUUGGGCCAACACCGAGAGACAGAAGGCAGGGACCCAACCUCUUCUGCGGGCCCUGAGCCCAUCAUGGCCAACAGACUUCUUUGCUGGGUCUCCAUUUUUCUCCUGGGAGCAGCUCCCACUGAAACGGGAAUCGCUCAGACACCGAGAUACCUGGUCACCGAGGUGAAGCAGGAGGUGAUGCUGAGAUGUCAGCAAGAUUUGGGGCAUGAUACCAUGUACUGGUACCAACAGGAGCCACAGAAAGGACCCAGGAUAAUGUUUUUUUAUACUUAUAAAGACAUGAGUUUAAAUGAGACCGUUCCUCCAAGAUUCCAACCUGCAUCAUCAGGGAAUGGUCACUUGACCCUCAAAAUCCAACCUGUGGAAGCAGAAGACUCAGCCACCUACCUCUGUAGUAGCAGCAGAGAUGUUGCCCUGGUGUCCUUCUGCAGUGUGCGUGUUGAUCCCAGACUUGUGCUGCUCCAUUAA